rnacentral:rRNA from 2 species
GGAUCCAGACUUUGAUUCUGGCUCAGGAUGAACGCUAGCUACAGGCUUAACACAUGCAAGUCGAGGGGAAACGAUAUUGGAAGCUUGCUUCCGAUAGGCGUCGACCGGCGCACGGGUGAGUAACGCGUAUCCAACCUGCCCAUCACUUGGGAAUAACCUUGCGAAAGUAAGACUAAUGCCCAAUGACAUUUAUAGAAGGCAUCUGAAAUGAAUUAAAGAUUUAUCGGUGAUGGAUGGGGAUGCGUCUGAUUAGCUUGUUGGCGGGGUAACGGCCCACCAAGGCGACGAUCAGUAGGGGUUCUGAGAGGAAGGUCCCCCACAUUGGAACUGAGACACGGUCCAAACUCCUACGGGAGGCAGCAGUGAGGAAUAUUGGUCAAUGGGCGAGAGCCUGAACCAGCCAAGUAGCGUGCAGGAUGACGGCCCUAUGGGUUGUAAACUGCUUUUAUAGGGGAAUAAAGUGAGCCACGUGUGGUUUUUUGCAUGUACCCUAUGAAUAAGGACCGGCUAAUUCCGUGCCAGCAGCCGCGGUAAUACGGAAGGUCCGGGCGUUAUCCGGAUUUAUUGGGUUUAAAGGGAGCGUAGGCCGGAGAUUAAGCGUGUUGUGAAAUGUAGAUGCUCAACAUCUGAACUGCAGCGCGAACUGGUUUCCUUGAGUACGCAUAAAGUGGGCGGAAUUCGUGGUGUAGCGGUGAAAUGCUUAGAUAUCACGAAGAACUCCGAUUGCGAAGGCAGCUCACUGGGGCGCAACUGACGCUGAAGCUCGAAAGCGCGGGUAUCGAACAGGAUUAGAUACCCUGGUAGUCCGCGCGGUAAACGAUGGAUGCCCGCUGUUGGGCCAACUGGUUCAGCGGCCAAGCGAAAGCAUUAAGCAUCCCACCUGGGGAGUACGCCGGCAACGGUGCAACUCAAAGGAAUUGACGG